UACAGAGGGGGCAAGCGUUGUUCGGAAUUACUGGGCGUAAAGGGCGCGUAGGCGGCCGCCUAAGUCAGACGUGAAAUCCCUCGGCUCAACCGGGGAACUGCGUCUGAUACUGGAUGGCUUGAGUUUGGGAGAGGGACGCGGAAUUCCAGGUGUAGCGGUGAAAUGCGUAGAUAUCUGGAGGAACACCGGUGGCGAAGGCGGCGUCCUGGACCAACACUGACACUGAGGAGCGAAAGCCAGGGGAGCAAACGGG
rnacentral:rRNA from 1 species